GACGAACGCUGGCGGCGCGCUUAACACAUGCAAGUCGAGCGGUAGGACUCCUUUGGGUGUACACGACCGCCGAACGGGGGAGUAACACGCCUAUAAUUUGCCCUUCACUUCGGGAUAAACACCGGAAACGGUGCCCAAUUACGACUACGACCCGUCUUGGCAUAAGGUGCUGGCGGCAGGUCUUUCCCGUGCAGGUUGUGCUCGCGGCCUUUCGGCGUGUUGGUGGGUAAAUGCCUUCCCAAGCCUUCGACGGGUACCCGGCCUGAGGGGUGGACCGGCCACACUGGGACUGAGACACGGCCCAGACUCCGACGGGGGGCAGCAGUGGGGAAUGGUGGACAAUGGGCGAAAGCCUGAUCCAGCAACGCCGCGUGAGGGAUGACGGCCUUCGGGUUGUAAACCUCUGUCAGGACCGACGAAGCGCCCUGUCGGGUGGUGACGGUAGGUACAGAAGAAGGACCGGCCAACUACGUG
rnacentral:rRNA from 1 species